AUUGAACGCUGGCGGCAGGCCUAACACAUGCAAGUCGAACGGUAACAGAAAGCAGCUUGCUGCUUUGCUGACGAGUGGCGGACGGGUGAGUAAUGUCUGGGAAACUGCCUGAUGGAGGGGGAUAACUACUGGAAACGGUAGCUAAUACCGCAUAACGUCGCAAGACCAAAGAGGGGGACCUUCGGGCCUCUUGCCAUCGGAUGUGCCCAGAUGGGAUUAGCUUGUUGGUGGGGUAACGGCUCACCAAGGCGACGAUCCCUAGCUGGUCUGAGAGGAUGACCAGCCACACUGGAACUGAGACACGGUCCAGACUCCUACGGGAGGCAGCAGUGGGGAAUAUUGCACAAUGGGCGCAAGCCUGAUGCAGCCAUGCCGCGUGUAUGAAGAAGGCCUUCGGGUUGUAAAGUACUUUCAGCGGGGAGGAAGGGAGUAAAGUUAAUACCUUUGCUCAUUGACGUUACCCGCAGAAGAAGCACCGGCUAACUCCGUGCCAGCAGCCGCGGUAAUACGGAGGGUGCAAGCGUUAAUCGGAAUUACUGGGCGUAAAGCGCACGCAGGCGGUUUGUUAAGUCAGAUGUGAAAUCCCCGGGCUCAACCUGGGAACUGCAUCUGAUACUGGCAAGCUUGAGUCUCGUAGAGGGGGGUAGAAUUCCAGGUGUAGCGGUGAAAUGCGUAGAGAUCUGGAGGAAUACCGGUGGCGAAGGCGGCCCCCUGGACGAAGACUGACGCUCAGGUGCGAAAGCGUGGGGGAGCAAACAGGAUUAGAUACCCUGGUAGUCCACGCCGUAAACGAUGUCGACUUGGAGGUUGUGCCCUUGAGGCGUGGCUUCCGGAGCUAACGCGUUAAGUCGACCGCCUGGGGAGUACGGCCGCAAGGUUAAAACUCAAAUGAAUUGACGGGGGCCCGCACAAGCGGUGGAGCAUGUGGUUUAAUUCGAUGCAACGCGAAGAACCUUACCUGGUCUUGACAUCCACAGAACUUUCCAGAGAUGGAUUGGUGCCUUCGGGAACUGUGAGACAGGUGCUGCAUGGCUGUCGUCAGCUCGUGUUGUGAAAUGUUGGGUUAAGUCCCGCAACGAGCGCAACCCUUAUCCUUUGUUGCCAGCGGUCCGGCCGGGAACUCAAAGGAGACUGCCAGUGAUAAACUGGAGGAAGGUGGGGAUGACGUCAAGUCAUCAUGGCCCUUACGACCAGGGCUACACACGUGCUACAAUGGCGCAUACAAAGAGAAGCGACCUCGCGAGAGCAAGCGGACCUCAUAAAGUGCGUCGUAGUCCGGAUUGGAGUCUGCAACUCGACUCCAUGAAGUCGGAAUCGCUAGUAAUCGUGGAUCAGAAUGCCACGGUGAAUACGUUCCCGGGCCU
rnacentral:rRNA from 1 species